rnacentral:rRNA from 1 species
AGAGUUUGAUCCUGGCUCAGGAUGAACGCUGGCGGCAUGCCUAAUACAUGCAAGUCGAACGAAGCAGCAAUGCUUAGUGGCGAACGGGUGAGUAACACGUAGGUAAUCUAUCUUAUGACACUGGGAUAACUAAGGGAAACCUUAGCUAAUACCGGAUAUGUUGGACUUAGGCAUCUAAGACCAAUGAAAGGAUGCAAUUG